rnacentral:rRNA from 1 species
UACAGAGACUGCAAGCGUUAUUCGGAUUCACUGGGCGUAAAGGGCGCGUAGGCGGCCUUCUAAGUCGAACGUGAAAUCCCCGGGCUCAACCCGGGAACUGCGUCCGAUACUGGAAGGCUUGAAUCCGGGAGAGGGAUGCGGAAUUCCUAAUGUAGAGGUGAAAUGCGUAGAGAUCAUGAGGAAGACCAGUGGCGAAGGCGGGUCUCUGGACAGUUCCUGACACUGAGGCACGAAGGCCAGGGGAGCAAACGGG